rnacentral:rRNA from 1 species
UCCGGGCAUUAUUGGGCGUAAGAGCUCGUAGGCGGUUUGUCGCGUCUGCCGUGAAAGUCCGGGGCUCAACUCCGGAUCUGCGGUGGGUACGGGCAGACUAGAGUGAUGUAGGGGAGACUGGAAUUCCUGGUGUAGCGGUGAAAUGCGCAGAUAUCAGGAGGAACACCGAUGGCGAAGGCAGGUCUCUGGGCAUUAACUGACGCUGAGGAGCGAAAGCAUGGGGAGCGAACAGGAUUAGAUACCCUGGUAGUCCAUGCCGUAAACGUUGGGCACUAGGUGUGGGGGACAUUCCACGUUUUCCGCGCCGUAGCUAACGCAUUAAGUGCCCCGCCUGGGGAGUACGGCCGCAAGGCUAAAACUCAAAGGAAUUGACGGGGGCCCGCACAAGCGGCGGAGCAUGCGGAUUAAUUCGAUGCAACGCGAAGAACCUUACCAAGGCUUGACAUGAACCGGUAAGACCUGGAAACAGGUCCCCCACUUGUGGCCGGUUUACAGGUGGUGCAUGGUUGUCGUCAGCUCGUGUCGUGAGAUGUUGGGUUAAGUCCCGCAACGAGCGCAACCCUCGUUCCAUGUUGCCAGCGCGUUAUGGCGGGGACUCAUGGGAGACUGCCGGGGUCAACUCGGAGGAAGGUGGGGACGACGUCAAAUCAUCAUGCCCCUUAUGUCUUGGGCUUCACGCAUGCUACAAUGGCCGGUACAAAGGGUUGCGAUACUGUGAGGUGGAGCUAAUCCCAAAAAGCCGGUCUCAGUUCGGAUUGGGGUCUGCAACUCGACCCCAUGAAGUCGGAGUCGCUAGUAAUCGCAGAUCAGCAACGCUGCGGUGAAUACGUUCCCGGGCCUUGUACACACCGCCCGUCAAGUCACGAAAGUUGGUAACACCCGAGGCCGGUGGCCUAACCCCUUGUGGGAGGGAGCUGUCGAAGG